CUGUGUUGUAGGCACUAAGAGAAGAGCAGUGGACAAGUUCAAUCCUUGUGCUCAUGGCAGUUACAGGCUGGUAGGGAUGUCAGCCACAGCGCCAGUCAUUACUGUCUGAGCUCCAAACUCACCCUCUAUGCUCUGCCCUGUAAUGCUAAGGCCAGGACUCUGAAAAUGUCAUUUAUGCUUUGCCAGAGGCCUCCUCUUGGGCUUUGCCAAUGGAGAGCAAUAGAGGGAGAUUGAGUGGCUUUGAAGAUGUGAAGAGACUUGCGCUUUCCUGUCUACACGUGGCUCCUAUGAGCACUGGGUUUCCUCCUCUACUCUACUCCCAGCAGCAGUGGUGCUUUCUUAUAUCAACAGUCCCUAAUCCUAGGACUGGUAGUAGCGUGUUUAGUUGCUACCUUUGAGAUAACCGGUUUCGACAAACAACUGCACGCCAGCCUCGGCAACAGAAUGAGACUCCAUCUGGGGGAGAAAAAGAAGAUAGAGACAGGAUGAAUUAUGUAUUUUAUGGGACUUAAUAUGUUUAAAGUAUCCUCGUUUCAACAUGCAAUCAGAUUAAAAUAAAAAAC
rnacentral:lncRNA from 10 species